rnacentral:ncRNA from 1 species
UAAUUGGCAAUGACAAGGUGAGAGUAGUGUUCAUUUCACUAUUGCAGAGAGCUGGUGUAUGGUGGGAGCCAGUAUAUAAAUGAACAUGAAUUACGGCCUCGAGCUUCUUUUCUGAACGAUUGGCGUCUUGUAACAAGUAAGAAAAGACGGGACAUCCGUUAUCUGUAUAAAGAGGUGGAGUUUUUUUCCACAAUGAGGGUGGUACCGCGAUUCAAUCGUCCCUGCU